CCGGGUCCGUCGAAGGAUGGUUCCCCCGCUGCCACGCGGCAGGGGCGAAGAGGGAAUGCGACGGGCCGACCCAAACAGGGGGCCCAUAUCGCAGCCGACCCCGCGACUGUAGAGCGGCGAGGUCUUCACCACCGGGAUGCGUCGGGCCGUCAGGCCAAGCGGAACCGGCCAAAGCCACUGGAGAUGUCUCCGGGAAGGCCAGGCGAAGACCGACGACCCGCGAGCCAGGAGACCUGCCAUCCACGUGCGACGUCU
rnacentral:ncRNA from 2 species